rnacentral:rRNA from 1 species
UACGUAGGGUGCGAGCGUUGUCCGGAAUUAUUGGGCGUAAAGAGCUCGUAGGCGGUCUGUCGCGUCGGUCGUGAAAACUUGGGGCUUAACCCUGAGCUUGCGGUCGAUACGGGCAUGACUGGAGUUCGGCAGGGGAGACUGGAAUUCCUGGUGUAGCGGUGAAAUGCGCAGAUAUCAGGAGGAACACCGGUGGCGAAGGCGGGUCUCUGGGCCGAAAUUGACGCUGAGGAGCGAAAGCGUGGGGAGCAAACAGG